ACCACUGACUAUUGCUGAGGCUAUGGCCUGGUAGAUCCUCUGUCCCCAUACAGCUUGAGACAAAAAAGGACCUUUCCAUGCCUAGAUGCUGUUGCUGGAUUGCGUGAUCAACCACAGCACAAG